ACCAGUCUGGCUCAGUCAGUAGAGCAUGUGACUCUUGAUCUUGGGGUUGUGGGUUCGAGCCCCACGUUGGGUG
rnacentral:tRNA from 1 species